rnacentral:rRNA from 1 species
AAACUCGCCUACAUGAAGCUGGAAUUGCUAGUAAUCACAGGUCAGCAUACUGUGGUGAAUACGUUCCCGGGCCUUGUACACACCGCCCGUCACACCAUGAGAGUUGAGAAUACCCGAAGCCCAUGUCAAAGUGGUCGAAGGUAGGCUUGAUGAUUGGGGGUGAAGUCGUAACAAGGUAAC